rnacentral:tRNA from 1 species
GGAGUUGUGGCUCAGCAGUAGAGUGCUCGCCUCACACGUGUGAGACCCUGGGUUUGAGCCUCAGCACCA